AUUGCCGAGUCUCCGUGUUCAGGAUCAGCUCUCUCUGUCCGCCCGCGCUCUGAGUCCUGAGAUCCGGGAGCUGUAGGAGCGGUGGAUUCUCUGCAGCCUCGCCAGCGGAUUUCCGAGCAUCUUCACGUCUCUUUAUUGAACUUUAUUCAACCAAGUCCAGCAUGGAGAGCGAGAACAAGUACCUGCCGCAGCUGCUGGCGGAGAGAGACAGUCUGGACGCGUCCUUCAUCCACGCCAUGAAACUUCUCACUGCAGAAAUCGAGCGGGUUCAGAAGGACGAGCCAGAAAAAGACACAGAAACCUACUUGGAUCUUUUUACUGCAAAGAACAUCAAGCUAAAGGAACGAGUCCUCAUUCCAGUCAAGCAGUACCCAAAGUUUAACUUUGUUGGGAAGAUUCUUGGACCUCAGGGGAACACCAUCAAGAGACUGCAGGAGGAAACCGGUGCCAAGAUCUCAGUGCUGGGGAAGGGAUCCAUGCGAGACAAAGCCAAGGAGGAGGACCUGCGGCAAAGCGGCGAGCCCAAGUACGCCCACCUGUCUAUGGAGCUCCACGUGUUUAUCGAGGUGUUCGCCCCUGCGCCCGAAGCCUACAUGCGUAUGGCUAACGCCAUGGAGGAGAUCAAGAAGUUCCUCUUCCCUGACCUGAUGGAUGAAAUUUGCCAGGAACAGUUCAUGGAGAUGGGUUAUCUGAACGGCAGCGAACACAGCGUCCGGGGCAGAGGAGGCCCGCUCACCAGAGGCCGUGGAGGACCACCCAGGGGGCGUGGCAUGCCACCCAUGCGCGGUGGUGUUCCUCGUGGAGGUCCUGCGAGAGGUGGAGCCGUGAGAGGUGGGCCAGCAGCCAGAGGAGUCCCGCCGGCCCAGCCCGGCAGAGGGGGUGCUGUCAACCGCGCCCGUGCACCAGCUCCCGGACCGCAGAGGAUGCCCCCUCCGCCGCCCCGCCCUCCAGCCGAGUCUUAUGAAGAUUAUUCCUACGACGAAAGCUACGCGGAGGCCGGCUACGAAUCCUACGACAGCUAUUACAGUCAAGCACAGGGAGAAACAGAGUAUUAUGACUAUGGACAUGGAGAGGCACAAGAGGGAUAUGAAAAUUAUGCUCAAGACGACUGGAACGGAACACAGCGCGUGACCGGCGGAGGAAAAGCGCCCGCUCAGAGACCAGUGAAGGGGGCGUACAGGGAAGCCCCAUACGGACGAUACUGAACUCCUGUCAAUGUCAUCAUUCCUAACGCUCCCGUACGAUGACUGUCUCUCGCGGCAGCUCACGCUUUCCGCAGCCCGACAAAAGAGGUGCUUCCCUGAGAAACCCUGGAAUGGAAUCAGGUUUCACGUGAUCGCUCCUUCUCAGGGUGGACUGUUGAUUUGCCAUAUAGAAGUGGACCUUCAUUCAGACACCGAGAACGUUCACUUCUGCAGACACGGAGUCUUAACUGAAGUUCUGUCGGACGCCUUUCAAGUACGCUGGAGCGGAGUGCUAGCGGAGUGCGGCGGCGCAUCGGCUUAUAAAGGAGAGCAAAAGGAAAUCGAUGCCCGGCUUGGUGCUGCCAGAUCAUGCAGCAGCAGGCACUUAUUGAGCCGGAGCGGAGAGAGCUUUACUUGUUCUACAGAGUUUGCUGUGUAUGUCCGAUAUGUAUGUGGUCGCUUAUUGGAAAUGUCUGGGUCAUUGUGGUCUUUGUGAUGUUUCCGGUGCCUACGUUUGCCACAAUAAGGCAUUUCUAAAGCUCAUGUAUUAAAAAUAAGCUCUGGAAAUGACUGUUUAUAUUGUGCUUUUACUUAUGUGGGGUCUAGGUUAAGACUGUUCGAUGAUUUGGGUUUUUGACCUUUAUAGCCAAGCAACCCCCCUCCCUCCCCAAUUUAGGCGUUUCCAAUUCCCGGCUGCUUUCAGAAUUCCUCAUGCUUGCACCGCUUCCCUAGACACACAGCUCUCUGAUACCUGCCAUAUACCAGUUUCUAUCAAACAUAUACUAACUGAAUGUCCUUAAAACUUGCAGCAACGACAAUCUAUUGCAAUACCAAAGAAGGUAUAAAAAAGCGCAUUUUAAGAACAACAUAUAAGAACAAUAUACAUCGACCAGGCAUAACAUUAUGACCAUUGACCUGUGAAGUGAAUAACACUGAUUAUCUCUUCAUCUCUUAUAUUACGCAGCAAGUGAACAUUUGAUCCUCAAAGUUGAUGUUAGAAGCAGGAAAAAUGGGGGAAAACUGCAGUUCUUGUGGGGUGUUCCCGGUCUGCAGUGGUCAGUAUCUAUCAAAAGUGUUCCAAGGAAGGAACAGUGGUAAACCGGCGACAGGGUCAUCGGUGGCCAAGGCUCAUUGAUGCACGUGGGUCCGAUACAACAGAUUGCUGAAGAAGUGAAUGCUGGGUCUGAUAGGAAGGUGUCAGGAUACAUAGUGCAUCGCAGUUUGUUGCUUGUGGGGCAGCAAAAUGGGGACCAACACAAUAUUAGGACGGUGUAUAAGAACAACACUUGACGAGGACUAUAAACUAAAACAUGAGAAUUACCUACCUUUCCUGCCGUGAGUAUAACCACUGUGUAAGCAUGGUGUGAAACAUCUAAAUAAAUAAAUAAAUAAAUAGCCAUACAUGAGGGCCAAGUACUGUUUUUACACUGCUUGUACUCUGGCCAGCGGUGAAGCCUCAUACAGAGCUUUAGAACCAAUCACGGUACAGCUUUACGCAGCAGCCAACUGGGGACUCAAAUGUCCGACCUCCCUCCCGCAGAUUUUGCCAAUUGUGUCUGUUGGCUGCCCUGCAUCUUUGGUGGCACAGCUGAGAUUCAAACCCUUACCUAACUGCCCUGCAUCAUUUCCCUCCCGCCAAACCCUGCCUCUAUUUUUUUUAGAAAAACAGAUUUUAGGGGUGAUUGGUGUUCAGGUUCUGAUCUUCAUCGGGGUCAUUUGUUUUACUUCUGCACCAAAGAAAAGUGUGAGCCGCUUGUUUGUGUGUAAUAGCAAUUUAAUGUCUAACAUUUAAAAGUGUUUUUCAAUGAAUAAUAAAAGUCUAAAGUCUGAA